CACCGCGGUUAUACGAGAGGCCCAAGCUGACAAUCGCCGGCGUAAAGAGUGGUUAAUAAUUUACACAAUACUAAAGCCGAACAUCUCCAAAGUUGUACAACACACUCGAAGAUAUGAAGAACAACCACGAAAGUAACUUUACACUCUUUGAACCCACGAAAGCUGGGGAA
rnacentral:rRNA from 1 species